CACCCCUGCAAACCCCACUCCGGUGUAUUGAUAUUCAGUGUAGAGAGAGGGGUGUAAAUUCAGUGCUAUCUCCUCGCCGCUCACCGUUUAUGCCGUUCAUUUCACAUAGAUGUCACUACUGCCUUAUAAGCACUCCUCCGAGCCAGCCGCUUAAAUGGACCCAGUGCAUUAUAGUAAUGGAGUAACUGUAUAAAAACAAUGAAAUCCAAUCUCUUUAAACUGAUUUGAUGUCUGCCUGAACCACAACAUUUCCUGCUAAUGGCUUCCUUCAUUUUGUAACCGUGAUCUCCACCUGAUCAGAUUACAGCUGUUUUUAAUUACAAAGCUAAUAGAGUUUGUAGGCAGUGUCGGGAGGAUGGCGCAUGCCCCGGGCAGAGAGGAGCUGGUGGGGGCUUGAGGUGGUUGUGCUGACACUCAGCCUAUGGAGCAGACUGUCACAACACUAGGAUGGGGACAGAGUAGGGAUGUUGGUGCCAUCUGACUGCUGCAGCUGAUGGGGCAGGAAAAAGCACUGAGGAUGACUGAUAGUGGAAAAUGUCCUCAAGAUUGAUGUCUUUCUUAUGGGAUAGCGCAGCCAGCUGCAGGGUUGGAUUCCUCCACCUCAGCCUGGAUGGUGGAGCCCUGGGGAGUAUCUGUGCAGCUCAUCCUGCUCCCCAAGGACCUCGUUUUGUCCAGCAGUCGGUUUGUUUGCUGAUUGCUCUAUUGCUGUGGGUUAGGAGCACAGAGCAGAGUAACUGUGGGGAGAGAAGCAGUUUGAAAUCUGUUCCCAAACGGUGAUGGCCAAGGAUGUUUGAUGCCCUGAAAAAACACUGUGGUGUGUUAGAGAUGCUUCUCAGUAGCCCAUACUGGUGUUUAGGAUUGAGCUGAUGUUGGGUUCAGCUGAAAAAUGUCAGCAGCGAAGGAGAGCUGCAUCUCUAGGUUGAAGCCAUGUCCUGCUGGAGGAAUCUCCCAUUUGGGGUGCUGGAGUUGUUCUUGUGCCCACAGUAGUAAGCAAUCCACUUCCAGCAGCUGGGACAAGAGGAGGACAAGGCAGGAAGAACCCCAGAGCCCCAUGGGGAAGUUCAUGCUAUUGAGACCUGCUUUGGAGCUGCUCCCGCUGCCUGCUUCAUCACACUGCUCAGGAUGUUUGUCCUCCACUGCCUUGGUGCAGGAGUUGCUUGUGCCAGUGACACCAACACGAGCUGCCAAAACACCAAACACCAACAGCCAGUCCUGCCCAGAAGAGCGGAACAUAGGGACUCACCAUCUCCUCCCCAUAACUCGGCACUCUGAGGUUAGUGAGAGUGUUCUCAGAGCAAACCCCAUCCUACACGAGCCGUUGCUGGUGAGACCCACCUGCGUGCACUGUGCUGCAGAGCAGGAUCAGCACUGCCAUCCAGACUCUGCCUGUGCCUGAUGCACAAAACCAUGUGUUUGAGGAAGUACUUCUGGAGUUUGAAAAGCAUUGCUGGGGUUUGAGCUGGCUGCGGGUGGAAGGACUGAGCCUGGAAGGAAACCCCGUGUGAAAUCCCCAGCCUGCUUUGCAGAUGCUGGGCUGGUUUUAGGCAGAUGUCUGAAACACUCCUGGUGGGCUUGGUGCCUUGCUGCAGAAAAUAUAGGGGGGAGCUGGAAGAAGUGGGGAGAGCCCUGAUAUCUUCCAGGAGCUGUCUCAGGAGAGAGACUGGACCAGCCUGAAGAGCCAAAGUCCAGCAGCACAGCUGGGGACACAAACAUCCCACACACAGGACUAUUUUGAUGGAGCCGGAGAAGUGAUGACACAAAUAGCUGAUGACACAAAUAGUUCUGCUGGCAGAGCAGCAGAGGUGGCAACCUCUGGAUGGAAUCCAUGAGCAGCAGCUGCAGACAGGCACCUCUUCAUGGAGCUGGAACAGGAUGUACAACGCAGGGCUCCUGUCACCAUUCCUCCAGUAUCACCAGGAAAGCUGUGACCCAGAUGAGCCACAGCCUCCUUCCUGAGCAUCAGCACUCAGAGCCUCAUCCAGAGAGCCUGCAGACACAUCUGCCCUCUCCUCUGUGUCGGAGUUCCUCUGCAUCUUGUUGACAGCUGACAAACAUUCCAGCUAGAAUACCUUUGCUGAGCUCCUGGGUGGAAAAAAAAGGAGGAUUUACCUGAAUCCAACCCAUCUGCACGUGCUGAAAACAGAGAGGAUCAGCGAAACUGGAACUGUUCAGAACCACCCAUUACUUCCAUGUGCCGUGAAUGGAGCUCUCAGGCUCAUCAGAGGAAGACCAGAAUGAACUCCACCACCGUGGCCUCACCUUGCUGGCAUUGCAGGUUUUUGCCUCAUAAGGACUCCAUCUUCCUCACACCCAGGUAGAGUUCAGGACAACCUCAGGCUGGUUUCCAAGUGGAGAUGUCACACCACAAAAUCUCCCUCUGCGCCAUGCCAUUGUCAGUACUGAUUUGACCAUCUCAGUGAAGAAGCCAAGGAUCAAAUGAUCCCCAGUGCCAGACUUUUCUUUUUCAGCUUGCAGGAACCGGGUCCAUCCCAGCAUGGGAAUGGAGCACGGCCCCAGUGCUGCCAGCAGAUAGCAGAGACCCCAUGAGAUGCCUACAGAGAGGCAACACAGAGGUGAACCUUCAUCAAAGCCUGGGCUUGGCUGUGUAAUGUGCAACAAAAGCAAGUGGUUGGAUUAUUCUAAGGUUUUUUUUUUUUUUAAAUGAUGUGGUUGGUGCUGCUCCUGUUCUCUCCUCCUGAGAGUGUGUCUGGCAUUCAAAUAUGGAGCAAGGGUGGGUGACUUUGCUUAUAACCCCAUUUUAAACCCGUUUGAGGAUGAACGUGUUUCUUCGUAAAUGAAGCUUGCAUGGUAUGCCAUAAAUUGCUGUUUUUUUUUAAUGGGUGUUUGCACUAAGCCUCGCUGAACAAGUUUAGAGAGAUGAUUAACUCGUCUGAAAUGGCACAGGAAGGCCUUGUCCUGGCCGUGUGGGCUUUGUGCAGCACAUCCAGAGCUGCUGUGGCCCCGUGUCAUCUGCUUGCUAGCUGGGCCUGCAAACGGGGCCGGGGAGGAGGCUGCGCCGCUAAGAGGCAGUGAUAUGAAAGGUUGGAAUUUGCACAUGUUCACUGAAAAAGGAACUGGUGUUUUUUUUUCUUUUCUUAAUAAGCAAGGAGUUAUCCCAGGCUGGCUUCCACAGAAGUGAUCUGCAACUCCCAGGGGGUCGAAGGAGGAAACCCAAAGUUCAUUAGCAGUUUUCUUGCAAACAUUGUUUCAGUGGCAGCAGCACUCACCCCUGCGCAUGGCAGGGACGCUCGCAGGGCUUUGUUUCGCUUUGUUCGGCCCCAAGAGUUCCUCGUGUGGGUCAGACCAGAGCAUGUGAUGAAAGCACAAGUGUUGGCCAUGGGAAAGCUGUCCGGCGGUAAACCCUCAUCCCCAGAGCACAGGCAGCAGAGGGGCUCCGGGCUGGCUGUCUCCCCUUGCUCCUUUCAUGCCAUGCAUGACACCAAAUGGUAAGAAACAGAUUUCUGUGUUCGUGGUGUUGCCUGUCACACUGGAGUGGGAGCCUACAGCGAGCUGUACCUGGUCUAACAAAGGCUCUGCCCUGAAACCCAUUGGGAUGCUUUUCCACAUCUACAGUACGACUUUGCCAACUCAACCUUUCCUUGCUGAAAGCAGCCCGUGUGACAGAAAACUGGGCACGGGUCAUUUCACAAAAAAGGUAUUUUAUUAUUCUUAGCAAUAUUCACCUUGAAGGAAUAUGAGGAAAGCAUACGCUUUUUACAGACAAUAUAUAAACAUGUUGUACAUAAUUAACAAUAACUUAGUUCACUAAUCCAAAAAUAAGCAAAAUAAAAAAAUUAAAAUAAAAACAGAAAAUACUGCAGAUUUUUUUUUUUUAAUAUGCUGAUACAAGUACAAAAUAAUUUAAAUCUCAACUGCCAUUGUCUAUGCUGCAGUGACCGACAAUAUAUUGCACUUUGUCAACUGUAUCAGUAAUCCCUGUCUUCCACCCACGUCCCUUCCCCACCCCCUGCACAAAUCCUACCGAAAUUUGAGUCGGGUACAAAUAAUGUACAACUGUACCAUUGUAAAAGGUAGAAAGUAAAAAGGAUCCGAUUCUUUUUUUCCCUCAGUAGAUUAAGAAGGUUUGUGAUUUCUCCCAACUGCUUUUGUUUUCCCGUUCGUUUCCACUUCUUUACAAAGUGCACCUAUAUGCCUACGCAGACCAGGAAAAGGAUGCAAGCAGGAUUUUCCAUGUCUGCCUGGUUCUUAAUUCAUUACCAAAUUUUCGAAUUACAUGGUUAGAAAAAGAAAAUUAACAUACAUCUGUUUUUAUUUGUUUUGUUGUGUUUUUUCUUUCUUUAAAGCAGGACUGUUGCAGUAAAGAUACAAUUGGCUUGAUCCAAAAUAUUAAAAAACAAAACAAAAAAAAAACACAACCCCAUCAACAACAAAAAAGUUAAAAGUUAAAAAAAAAAAAAAAAAGAAAGAAAGAAGCUUGUCACAGAGUUAAGCUUACAUGGUUUACAUUAUCAAACCCCUCUGCUCAUUGGGGCAUUUUCAUCAGAAGUAUAGCUAAAUAUGUACACUGUAUGUUAUACUGGAGCUUGUGUUCACGAGAGGCAUCAGAUCAUAACAAUCAAUAGAAUACACUUCACAUUGGCAAUAGCUUUGUUUUCGAUCAUUUACGUACAACGUGGUUUAAUAAUGGGAGCUCUAAGGUUUUUUUUCUUUUUCUCUUUUUUUUCCUCUUUUCUUACAAAACGCACUACGGAAGGCGGCCGUACGGCGCUUUCCCUCAUCUCAUCAGCUGUCGCUGCGUCUGGGGUUUGACGGAUGUGUGAAGCUCAAACUGAUUGUCUCUCCCUUUCCCCUCUCCAGUGAUCUCAACCUCAUUUCUGCCCUUCCUCCCUGCGAAGUCCAUGGGGGCUGGAUGCCUGAGACAGCACGCGCUGCCUUGCUGCGUGCGGACCUGCUGCCGCGCUGCCCUAAGUUUACCCAAAGAGCUGAGCUGCAUUUUUUUAAGCAACAGCUGCCAACACAACAGAACAAAAUGCUUCAACCUCUGCAGUCUAGUUCACAAUAGAAAUCCAGCAUGUGCGGCUUCCAGUGAGCCGAUUCCAUCCUGGGAGGCUGCUUAUAUCUCUUCACAAUAUUCACAGUAAUAACAAAGAGAGAAAGGAAAGCCAGUUCCAGCCUCUUCUUUCUGCUUCUGCCACCUUUUGCUUUCUGCUAGACAACUGAAUAUCGACCAGAUGAACGCAUUCCCAAAGAUGGCCAUCUCUCCUCUGCAAACAAGCAAACUACAGUGGAAAAAGGGGCAAUAAACAAAGCUGUAAAUCAAUUAAAACAACAACAACAAACAACCAAAUGAAGAGAAAAGCUCUCUGUCUGCUUGAAGUGGGAUUUAGUGCGGAGCAGCUACCCAUGUUUCUGCUUUGUGCUUCAGCACAACAUGGGAACCACGGCAUGGCAGAGCGGCCCUACGGAAACCUAGCAUGCAGCUCCUACGUGUGUCUGUGCCUCAGAAAGCUCUCUGCUAGAAGUUCAUUCGCCUCCGACGCUUCGAGGGCAGGUCUGCUUAAUAUAGAAAUCUCUUCAUAUAGUGUAUGCAAAUCCUACAGCGUUUAAGCGGAGAGGAAAUUCUCCUUUUGCUAAUAACUGCAGCAGGCCACGCCGAGUUCAGCGGGGUUGUGCCUCCUUUAAUCUAGGGAGUGGGUGGCUUUUAAACAACACGGUGAAAAAUGAGGGGAGCUCUCAGUGCUGCGUUUGGAGCUUUUGUCCCUCCUUGGGCAGGAAGCUGCCGGAGUCGCCGUGUCGUGAGCCUGAGCUUUCCUACAAAAACACCGGGUGGUCACGAACUUUCCCCAGUUCCCCCCAGCACGGGGGGCUCCCUUGCAGGAAAAAAAGGAAAAACAAACAACGGAGCCCCAGGCUUCCCCCAUUUAAUAAAGCUGCCGGCGACCACAGGAUAAAAUAAAAAGCUCCUCGAGA